rnacentral:rRNA from 1 species
AUUGAACGCUGGCGGCAGGCCUAACACAUGCAAGUCGAACGGUAACAGGAAGCAGCUUGCUGCUUUGCUGACGAGUGGCGGACGGGUGGGUAAUGUCUGGGAAACUGCCCGAUGGAGGGGGAUAACUACUGGAAACGGUAGCUAAUACCGCAUAACGUCGCAAGACCAAAGAGGGGGACCUUAGGGCCUCUUGCCAUCGGAUGUGCCCAGAUGGGAUUAGCUAGUAGGUGGGGUAACGGCUCACCUAGGCGACGAUCCCUAGCUGGUCUGAGAGGAUGACCAGCCACACUGGAACUGAGACACGGUCCAGACUCCUACGGGAGGCAGCAGUGGGGAAUAUUGCACAAUGGGCGCAAGCCUGAUGCAGCCAUGCCGCGUGUAUGAAGAAGGCCUUCGGGUUGUAAAGUACUUUCAGCGGGGAGGAAGGGAGUAAAGUUAAUACCUUUGCUCAUUGACGUUACCCGCAGAAGAAGCACCGGCUAACUCCGUG